GGCAGGCAGGGAUGGGUAUCCACACUGUCACUCAAUAGCUAUGUGACGUAGGUACCUUAACUUCUCUAAACCUCAGUGUCCUUAUCUAUACAAUGGGGAUAACAGUACCUACUUCACAAGGCUGACACAGCAUUAAAGAUGAGCAGGCUUGUGUAAAGUGAUAUAUGCCACAAUAUCACUUUACUAUAACUAUUAUUAUUAUAACUUCUCAGGCAGAAGCAACAUGUCCCCAAAAUACAAUUACAGACUAACUUACUGAUGAUCUAAAAGCUUUGUUACUUUUUUCUUUCUCGAGACAGAGUCCCACCCAGUCACCAGGCUGGAGUGCAGUGGUGCGAUCUUAGCUCACUACAACCUCCACCUCCCAGGUUCAAGUGAUUCUCCUGCCUCAGCCUCCUGAGUUGCUGGGACUACAGGUGUGCGCCACCAUGCCCUGCUAAAUUUUGUAUUUUUAGUAGAGAUGGGUGUUUCACUAUGUUGGCCAGGCUGGUCUUGAACUCCUGAUCUCAUGAUCUGCCUGCCUCAACCUCCCAAAGUGCUGGGAUUACAGGCGUGAGCCACCACGCCCAGCCUUUGUUACUUUCAAGAAGAGCAACACAUCAUAGAAAGAGGUUUACUGGGCCAGGCAUGGUGGCUCACACCUGUAUUCCCAGCACUUGGGGAAGCCAAGGCGGGCAGAUCACCUGAGGUCAGGAGUUCGACACCAGCCCAGACAACAUGUGAAACCAUGUCUCUACUAAAAAUACAAAAAAAAAUUAGCUGGGUAUGGUGGCAGGCACCUAUAAUCCCAGCCACUCGGGAGGCUGAGGAGGCUGAGGCAGGAGAAUCGCUUGAACCUGGGAGGCAGAAGUUGCAGUGAGCCAAGAUCACACCAUUGCACUCCAGCCUGGAUGACAGAGCAAGACUCCAUCUCAAUAAAUAGAUUCGCUCUGUUGUCUAUCAGCUUGCAUACUUUGAUGAAACAAGCUUCCAUGUUGAAGAGGACCAAGUGGAAGUGAAUUGAGGGCAAGCACUGGACAACAGCCAGAGAGAAAGUCCAAAGCCCAUUCCCCUAUAAGUAACUGAAUGCAGCCAACAACCAGUGAGUGGACCUGAAAGCUUUCCAACAGCCUUGUAAUGACUACAGUUGCAGCCAACAACAUGAUUUCAGCCUGCGAGAGACCUCAGCAUACCUGGAUUCCCGGACUACAGAAACUGAGCUAAUAAAUGUGUGCCAUUUUG
rnacentral:lncRNA from 1 species